UACAGAGGGUGCGAGCGUUAAUCGGAAUUACUGGGCGUAAAGCGUGCGCAGGCGGUUGUGCAAGACAGGUGUGAAAUCCCCGGGCUUAACCUGGGAACUGCACUUGUGACUGCACGGCUAGAGUACGGUAGAGGGGGAUGGAAUUCCGCGUGUAGCAGUGAAAUGCGUAGAUAUGCGGAGGAACACCGAUGGCGAAGGCAAUCCCCUGGACCUGUACUGACGCUCAUGCACGAAAGCGUGGGGAGCAAACAGG
rnacentral:rRNA from 1 species